AGUUUGAUGAUUGAACGCUGGCGGCUGCAAGUAGAAGGAGGUAGCUAGCUACCUGCCGACGAGUGACGAACGGGUGAGUAAGGAACGUGCCCUGUAGUGGGGGAUAAAUAGUCGAAAGACUAGCUAAUACCGCAUACGACCUGAGGGUGAAAGUGGGGGACCGCAAGGCCUCAUGCUAUAGGAGCGGCCGAUGUCUGAUUAGCUAGUUGGUGGGGUAAAGGCCCACCAAGGCGACGAUCAGUAGCUUGUCUGAGAGGACGAUCAGCCACACUGGGACUGAGACACGGCCCAGACUCUUACGGGAGGCAGCAGUGGGGAAUUUUGGACAAUGGGGGCAACCCUGAUCCAGCAAUGCCGCGUGUCGGAAAAAGGCUUUUGGGUUGUAAAACAUUUUUGUCCGGAAUGAAAUCGCCCCGGUUAAUGCCUGGUGGUGAUGACGGUACCGGAAGAAUAAGGACCGUCUAAGUACGUGCCAGCAGCCGCGGUAAUACGUAGGGUCCAAGCGUUAAUCGGAAUUACUGGGCGUAAAGCGUGCGCAGGCGGUUGUGCAAGACCGAUGUGAAAUCCCCGGGCUUAACCUGGGAAUUGCAUUGGUGACUGCACGGUUAGAGUGUGUCAGAGGGAGGUAGAAUUCCAAAUGUAACAGUGAAAUGCGUAGAGAUAUGGAGGAAUACUGAUGGGGAAGGCAGCCUCCUGGGAUAACAAGGACGUUCAUGCAUGAAAGCGGGGGGAGCAAACAGGAUUAGAUACCAUGGUAGUUCACGCCCUAAACGAUGUCAAAUAGUUGUUGGGGAUUCAUUUCCUUAGUAACGAAGUUAACGCGUUAAGUGACCCGCCUUGGAUUUACGACCAU
rnacentral:rRNA from 1 species